rnacentral:rRNA from 1 species
CACGUAGGGGGCAAGCGUUGUCCGGAUUUAUUGGGCGUAAAGAGCUCGUAGGCGGUUCGGUAAGUCAGGUGUGAAACCUCCAGGCUCAACCUGGAGACGCCACCUGAUACUGCUGUGACUCGAGUCCGGUAGGGGAGCGUGGAAUUCCUGGUGUAGCGGUGAAAUGCGCAGAUAUCAGGAGGAACACCAGCGGCGAAGGCGGCGCUCUGGGCCGGAACUGACGCUGAGGAGCGAAAGCGUGGGGAGCGAACAGG